rnacentral:rRNA from 1 species
GGUGGAGCAUGUGGUUUAAUUCGAAGCAACGCGAAGAACCUUACCAGGUCUUGACAUCCUCUGAAAACCCUAGAGAUAGGGCCUCUCCUUCGGGAGCAGAGUGACAGGUGGUGCAUGGUUGUCGUCAGCUCGUGUCGUAGGAUGUUGGGUUAAGUCCCGCAACGAGCGCAACCCUUGAUCUUAGUUGCCAUCAUUAAGUUGGGCACUCUAAGGUGACUGCCGGUGACAAACCGGAGGAAGGUGGGGAUGACGUCAAAUCAUCAUGCCCCUUAUGACCUGGGCUACACACGUGCUACAAUGGACGGUACAAAGAGCUGCAAGACCGCGAGGUGGAGCUAAUCUCAUAAAACCGUUCUCAGUUCGGAUUGUAGGCUGCAACUCGCCUACAUGAAGCUGGAAUCGCUAGUAAUCGCGGAUCAGCAUGCCGCGGUGAAUACGUUCCCGGGCCUUGUACACACCGCCCGUCACACCACGAGAGUUUGUAACACCCGAAGUCGGUGGGGUAACCUUUUUGGAGCCAGCC